rnacentral:rRNA from 1 species
ACUCCUACGGGAGGCAGCAGUGGGGAAUAUUGGACAAUGGGCGAAAGCCUGAUCCAGCCAUGCCGCGUGUGUGAAGAAGGUCUUCGGAUUGUAAAGCACUUUAAGUUGGGAGGAAGGGCAGUAAGUUAAUACCUUGCUGUUUUGACGUUACCAACAGAAUAAGCACCGGCUAACUUCGUGCCAGCAGCCGCGGUAAUACGAAGGGUGCAAGCGUUAAUCGGAAUUACUGGGCGUAAAGCGCGCGUAGGUGGUUCAGCAAGUUGGAUGUGAAAUCCCCCCGGGCUCAACCUGGGAACUGCAUCCAAAACUACUGAGCUAGAGUACGGUAGAGGGUGGUGGAAUUUCCUGUGUAGCGGUGAAAUGCGUAGAUAUAGGAAGGAACACCAGUGGCGAAGGCGACCACCUGGACUGAUACUGACACUGAGGUGCGAAAGCGUGGGAGCAAACAGGAUUAGAUACCCCUGGUAGGAUAGCG